GAAAGAACACACAGAUAUGAAGAGGGAAAAAAAAUAUUGGAGAAUUCAAACACAUCCACAUCACUGCUCUUCGAAUCACUCAAUAUACUGAGCAUCAGAUGACCUCCAUGCAGAGGGUCGGACAGCUCAUAGCCCAGGCAGCUGGCGGAGGGGAAGUGAGCCCAGAAGGUUCUGGACAGGUCUUCAAUCUUCUCAUAACCAGCAUGUUCGCGCAGAGCCUCCACCCAGCCGAAGAAGUCAGAGGUGGUCAGAGCCCAGUUGAGCAUGCUGCACUUCUCACGCCCCACAUCUGCUGCUGGAAAACCAAUGAGAGCUCGAGAAUGGAUGAGGAUGUCAAAAGGGAACCAAUCAGAGGUUGAGUGAAUGAUACUGCACUUCACUAAGACUGGACACAUGACACAACUUGACAUGUUGAUAGCUGUUUACUACAUACAUUAUUUUCAGUGUAAUACACAAUCUGUAUUCAUUGAUUAUACAUGUGUGUUUGUGACAUUGAUAGAACCACCGUACGGAACCUUUGCUAAAGGGCAGUCUGCCUCACCAAUGGGAAAAUCUACACUGCAAUUUUCCCACUUCCCAGCCUCCCUGCUACACCAACCAUAACAGCCUUGUUCAUUUCUCAAUGUUCACCUCUCUGU